rnacentral:rRNA from 1 species
CCUACGGGAGGCAGCAGUGGGGGAUAUUGCACAAUGGGGGGAACCCUGAUGCAGCGACGCCGCGUGGGUGAAGAAGUGCUUCGGCAUGUAAAGCCCUUUCAGCGGGGAAGAAGCAAGACGGUACCUUACUAAGAAGCCCCGGCUAACUACGUGCCAGCAGCCGCGGUAAAACGGAGGGGGCGAGCGUCAUCCGGAUGCACUGGGUGUAAAGGGCGCGUAGUCGGCCAGGCAAGUCAGGGGUGAAAGCCCGGGGCCCAACCCCGGGACUGCCCUUGGAACUGCAUGGCUGGAGUGUGGGAGGGGGAGGCGGAAUGCCUGGUGUAGCGGUGAAAUGCGUAGAGAUCAGGAGGAAGACCGGUGGCGAAGGCGGCCUGCUGGACCGAGACUGACGUUGAGGCGCGAAAGCGUGGGGAGCGAACAGGAUUAGAUACCCCAGUAGUC